rnacentral:rRNA from 1 species
CCCUUAGAUGUUCUGGGAUGCACGCGCGUUACACUGAUUCGUUCAGCGAGUUUAUGACCUUGCCUGAUGAGGUGGGGGAAUCUUUUCAAAUCGCAUCGUGAUGGGGAUAGAGUAUUGUAACUGUUAGUCUUCAACGAGGAAUUCCUAGUAAGUACGUGUCAUCAGCUCGUACUGAUUAUGUCCCUGCCCUUUGUACACACCGCCCGUCGCUCCUACCGAUUGAGUGCUCAGGUGAAUAGUAUGGACUGCAUCAGUGUUCGGUCUCCGAAUGUUGACGCGAGAAAUUCUGUGAAUCUUAUUGCUUAGAGGAAGGAGAAGUCGUAACA